rnacentral:rRNA from 1 species
UUGAACGCUGGCGGCAUGCCUUACACAUGCAAGUCGAACGUGAAAGCGGGGCAACCCGCAAGUAGAGUGGCGGACGGGUGAGUAAUACAUCGGAACGUGUCCAGUAAUGGGGGAUAACCUAGCGAAAGUUAGGCUAAUACCGCAUACGAUCUACGGAUGAAAGCGGGGGAUGCGGCACUAAAGGCUUUUUGGCGAAGGUGGCCAAAGGUGAGUCAAGAGCUUUUAGUGCUGCACCUCGCGUUAUUGGAGCGGCUGAUGUCUGAUUAGCUAGUUGGUGAGGUAAGGCUUACCAAGGCGACGAUCAGUAGCUGGUCUGAGAGGACGGCCAGCCACACUGGGACUGAGACACGGCCCAGACUCC